GAUGAACGCUGGCGGCGUGCCUAAUACAUGCAAGUCGAGCGAACGGACGAGAAGCUUGCUUUUCUGAUGUUAGCGGCGGACGGGUGAGUAACACGUGGAUAACCUACCUAUAAGACUGGGAUAACUUCGGGAAACCGGAGCUAAUACCGGAUAAUAUUUUGAACCGCAUGGUUCAAAAGUGAAAGACGGUCUUGCUGUCACUUAUAGAUGGAUCCGCGCUGCAUUAGCUAGUUGGUAAGGUAACGGCUUACCAAGGCAACGAUGCAUAGCCGACCUGAGAGGGUGAUCGGCCACACUGGAACUGAGACACGGUCCAGACUCCUACGGGAGGUAGCAGUAGGGAAUCUUCCGCAAUGGGCGAAAGCCUGACGGAGCAACGCCGCGUGAGUGAUGAAGGUCUUCGGAUCGUAAAACUCUGUUAUUAGGGAAGAACAUAUGUGUAAGUAACUGUGCACAUCUUGACGGUACCUAAUCAGAAAGCCACGGCUAACUACGCG
rnacentral:rRNA from 1 species